rnacentral:rRNA from 1 species
CCUACGGGAGGCUGCAGUGGGGAAUAUUGGACAAUGGGCGAAAGCCUGAUCCAGCCAUGCCGCGUGUGUGAAGAAGGCCUUCGGGUUGUAAAGCACUUUCAGUGGGGAAGAAAGCCUUGGGGCUAAUACCCUCGAGGAAGGACAUCACCCACAGAAGAAGCACCGGCUAACUCCGUGCCAGCAGCCGCGGUAAUAUGGAGGGUGCGAGCGUUAAUCGGAAUUACUGGGCGUAAAGCGCGCGUAGGCGGUCUGAUAAGCCGGUUGUGAAAGCCCCGGGCUCAACCUGGGAACGGCAUCCGGAACUGUCAGGCUAGAGUGCAGGAGAGGAAGGUAGAAUUCCCGGUGUAGCGGUGAAAUGCGUAGAGAUCGGGAGGAAUACCAGUGGCGAAGGCGGCCUUCUGGACUGACACUGACGCUGAGGUGCGAAAGCGUGGGUAGCAAACAGGAUUAGAUACCCGGGUAGUC